GGUUGGUCGUGCCUACGGUACGUACUGGCUUCACUGGUUCCUCCCUUCUGACAAACCAUGAUGCCAUUAAUUCGGCGUUGUGGGGAAUCAGAACUGUUACUGUGAAAAAAUUAGAGUGUUUAAAGCAGGCUUAAGCUUGAAGACAUUAGCAUGGAAUAAUGAAAUAGGACGUUUGAUCCUAUUUUGUUGGUUUCUAAGAUCGACGUAAUGAUUAAUAGGGAUAGUUGGGGGCAUUAGUAUUCAAUUGUCAGAGGUGAAAUUCUUGGAUUUAUUGAAGACUAACUACUGCGAAAGCAUUUGCCAAGGAUGUUUUCAUUAAUCAAGAACGAAAGUUAGGGGAUCGAAGACGAUCAGAUACCGUCGUAGUCUUAGCCAUAAACUAUGCCGACUAGGGAUCGGAUGAUGUUAAUUUUUAAUGACUCAUUCGGCGCCUUACGGGAAAC
rnacentral:rRNA from 2 species